GAAGCUUGCUUCUCUUGAGAGCGGCGGACGGGUGAGUAAUGCCUAGGAAUCUGCCUGGUAGUGGGGGAUAACGCUCGGAAACGGACGCUAAUACCGCAUACGUCCUACGGGAGAAAGCAGGGGACCUUCGGGCCUUGCGCUAUCAGAUGAGCCUAGGUCGGAUUAGCUAGUUGGUGAGGUAAUGGCUCACCAAGGCGACGAUCCGUAACUGGUCUGAGAGGAUGAUCAGUCACACUGGAACUGAGACACGGUCCAGACUCCUACGGGAGGCAGCAGUGGGGAAUAUUGGACAAUGGGCGAAAGCCUGAUCCAGCCAUGCCGCGUGUGUGAAGAAGGUCUUCGGAUUGUAAAGCACUUUAAGUUGGGAGGAAGGGCAGUUACCUAAUACGUAUCUGUUUUGACGUUACCGACA
rnacentral:rRNA from 4 species